UUGAACGCUGGCGGCAGGCCUCACACAUGCAAGUCGAGCGGAUGAAGGGAGCUUGCUCCUGGAUUCAGCGGCGGACGGGUGAGUAAUGCCUAGGAAUCUGCCUGGUAGUGGGGGAUAACGUCCGGAAACGGGCGCUAAUACCGCAUACGUCCUGAGGGAGAAAGUGGGGGAUCUUCGGACCUCACGCUCUCAGAUGAGCCUAGGUCGGAUUAGCUAGUUGGUGGGGUAAAGGCCUACCAAGGCGACGAUCCGUAACUGGUCUGAGAGGAUGAUCAGUCACACUGGAACUGAGACACGGUCCAGACUCCUACGGGAGGCAGCAGUGGGGAAUAUUGGACAAUGGGCGAAAGCCUGAUCCAGCCAUGCCGCGUGUGUGAAGAAGGUCUUCGGAUUGUAAAGCACUUUAAGUUGGGAGGAAGGGCAGUAAGUUAAUACCUUGCUGUUUUGACGUUACCAACAGAAUAAGCACCGGCUAACUUCGUG
rnacentral:rRNA from 1 species